GCUUAAAUAGUUUAAGAAAAAUUCCAACUUGUGGCGUUGGGGAUAUAGUUUUAUUUUAGGCU
rnacentral:tRNA from 1 species